UACGAAGGGGGCUAGCGUUGUUCGGAAUUACUGGGCGUAAAGCGUGCGUAGGCGGUUUUGUAAGACAGAUGUGAAAUCCCCGGGCUCAACCUGGGAAUGGCGAUUGAAACUGGCGAGCUAGAGUACGGUAGAGGAGAGUGGAAUUCCCGGUGUAGCAGUGAAAUGCGUAGAGAUCGGGAGGAACAUCAGUUGCGAAGGCGGCUCUCUGGACCAGUACUGACGCUGAGGCACGAAAGCGUGGGGAGCAAACAGG
rnacentral:rRNA from 1 species